rnacentral:rRNA from 1 species
AACGAACGCUGGCGGCAGGCCUAACACAUGCAAGUCGAGCGAGGACUUCGGUUCUAGCGGCGGACGGGUGAGUAACGCGUGGGAAUGUGCCCUUCUCUACGGAAUAGCCCUGGGAAACUGGGAGUAAUACCGUAUACGCCCUAUUGGGGAAAGAUUUAUCGGAGAAGGAUCAGCCCGCGUUGGACUAGGUAGUUGGUGGGGUAAUGGCCUACCAAGCCGACGAUCCAUAGCUGGUUUGAGAGGAUGAUCAGCCACACUGGGACUGAGACACGGCCCAGACUCCUACGGGAGGCAGCAGUGGGGAAUCUUAGACAAUGGGGGCAACCCUGAUCUAGCCAUGCCGCGUGAGUGAUGAAGGCCUUAGGGUUGUAAAGCUCUUUCAGCUGGGAAGAUAAUGACGGUACCAGCAGAAGAAGCCCCGGCUAACUCCGUG